UACGGGGGGGGCAAGCGUUGUUCGGAAUUACUGGGCGUAAAGCGUGCGCAGGCGGCUUCGCAAGUCAGACGUGAAAUCCCCGGGCUUAACCUGGGAAUGGCGUUUGAAACUACGGAGCUGGAGUGUGGCAGAGGGAGGUAGAAUUCCACGUGUAGCGGUGAAAUGCGUAGAUAUGUGGAGGAACACCAAUGGCGAAGGCAGCUCGCUGGGACGGUACUGACGCUGAGGCGCGAAAGCGUGGGGAGCAAACAGG
rnacentral:rRNA from 1 species